rnacentral:rRNA from 1 species
AUUGAACGCUGGCGGCAGGCCUAACACAUUCAAGUCGAGCGGAGCGGCGGACGGGUGAGUAAUGCCUAGGAAUCUGCCUGGUAGUGGUGGAUAACGUCCGGAAACGUGCGCUAAUACCGCAUACUAUCAGAUGAGCCUCGGUGGGAUUAGCUAGUUGGUGGGGUAAAGGCCUACCAAGGCGACGAUCCGUAACUGGUCUGAGCGGAGGAUCAGUCACACUGGAACUGAGACACGGUCCAGAAUCCUACGGGAGGCAGCAGUGGGGAAUAUUGGACAAUGGGCGAAAGCCUGAUGCAGCCAUGCCGCGUGUGUGAAGAAGGUCUUCGGAUGGUAAAGCACUUUAAGUUGGGAGGCGUUACCAACAGAAUAAGCACCGGCUAACGUCGUGCCAGCAGCCGCGGUAAUAC